GAACCACUUCGGUGGGGAUUAGUGGCGAACGGGUGAGUAACACGUGGGCAAUCUGCCCUGCACUCUGGGACAAGCCCUGGAAACGGGGUCUAAUACCGGAUACUGAUCCGUCUGGGCAUCCAGACGGUUCGAAAGCUCCGGCGGUGCAGGAUGAGCCCGCGGCCUAUCAGCUUGUUGGUGAGGUAGUGGCUCACCAAGGCGACGACGGGUAGCCGGCCUGAGAGGGCGACCGGCCACACUGGGACUGAGACACGGCCCAGACUCCUACGGGAGGCAGCAGUGGGGAAUAUUGCACAAUGGGCGAAAGCCUGAUGCAGCGACGCCGCGUGAGGGAUGACGGCCUUCGGGUUGUAAACCUCUUUCAGCAGGGAAGAAGCGAAAGUGACGGUACCUGCAGAAGAA
rnacentral:rRNA from 1 species